rnacentral:lncRNA from 1 species
UUUUGGGAAUGUAAUGUAACACAAAACUUCUGGUUAUCCAUUAUAGAUUGGAUUAGAAAUUAUGAAAUCUUCUUGCCUUUUAGUGCAAAAGAGGUGAUUUUAGGUGUGUCUGAGGAUUCUGUCAACAGUAAAACAGUUAAUAAUAUCUUGUUGUUAUUUAAAUACUAUAUAUACAAAUGUAGAUGUAAGAGUGUAUUGCCCACAAAAUAUGGUGGGAUAGAAUAUUUAAAGUAUUGGAUUACAAUAGAAAAAUACUCUGUAUGUUUCUUAACCCCUACACAAAAAAUAAAAAUGGAUCAGAAGUGGCAAUUGUUAGAAGCAGCAUUUAAUUAACAAAAUCAAUUGUAAUAUUUAUAUCUUGUUAUACCAUUAUGAUUUAAUCGAUCUGACAAGUACUAAUUAACUUUUUAUACCUUGUGUCUAAUACUGUAUUAUGUAAUUUCACAUGUUUCAUCUUGAAAAAUAAAAUAAUUACAAAAAAAAACUACAAUCCCUUUC